rfam:Myotis brandtii contig281937, whole genome shotgun sequence.
CUGUCUCUUGCUUCAACAGUGUUUGAACGGAACAG